rnacentral:rRNA from 6 species
UCCGGUUGAUCCUGCCGGAGGAUACUGCUAUCCGGAUUCGACUAAGCCAUGCGAGCUGAGAGUCUUCGGGACUCGGCAUACUGCUCAGUAAUAUAUAGUUAACCUAACCUAAGGUCAGGAAUAAUUUCGGGAAACUGAAGCUAAUACCUGAUAGACAUUCUGGUCUGGAAUGAUAGAAUAUCUAAAGGUCCGCCGCCUUAGGAUGGGACUAUAACCUAUCAACCUGUUGGGGGUGUAAAGUACUCCCAAAGUUAUAACGGGUACGGGCCAUGAGAGUGGAAGCCCGGAGAUGGAUUCUGAGACAUGAAUCCAGGACCUACGGGUCGCAGCAGGCGCGAAACCUUCACUAUGCAUUAACGUGCGAUGAGGGAAUCUGGAGUGCUUAUGCUUUGCAUAAGCUUUUGUUAAGUUGAAAAAGCUUGGCGAAUAAGGGGUGGGCAAGACAGGUGCCAGCCGCCAUUCUAUAGAGUUAAUAACUCUUGGAACGGUAAGCGGUAAUACCUGCGCCCCUAGUGGUAUCCGGUUUUAGUUGGUCUAAAGCAUCCGUAGCCGGUUUUGUUAGUCCCUAGUGAAAUCUAUUGGGAAACUGGUAGGCUUGCUGGGGAUACUGCAAGGCUUGGGACUGGGAGAGGGUAGAGGUACUGCUGGGGAAGGGGUAAAAUCCUAUAAUCCCAGUGGGACCACCUGUGGCGUAACUUAUUCAAAUUUGUUACAUAGAAGGCGUCUACCUAGAACAGGUCCGACGGUGAGGGAUGAAACCUAGGGGAGCGAUCGGGAUUAGAUACCCCGGUAGUCCUAGGCGUAAACGAUGCCCACUUGGUGUUACAAACCUUACGAGGGUUUGUAAUGCCGGAGCGUAGGUGUUAAGUGGGUCACCUGGGGAGUACGACCGCAAGGUUGAAACUUAAGGGAAAGAGAAGAAGCCCGAAACUACACUUAAAUAUAAUAAGACUCAAUAACAUUCUAUGAACGCAA